GGGUAGAUGACUGAGUGGUUUAAGGUAUUUCGCUUGAAACGAAAAGUGAGUAAUCACCAUAGGUUCAAAUCCUAUUCUGCCUA